CGGCCCAGACUCCUACGGGAGGCAGCAGUGGGGAAUAUUGCACAAUGGGCGCAAGCCUGAUGCAGCGACGCCGCGUGAGGGAUGACGGCCUUCGGGUUGUAAACCUCUUUCAGUAGGGAAGAAGCGAAAGUGACGGUACCUGCAGAAGAAGCGCCGGCUAACUACGUGCCAGCAGCCGCGGUAAUACGUAGGGCGCAAGCGUUAUCCGGAAUUAUUGGGCGUAAAGAGCUCGUAGGCGGUUUGUCGCGUCUGCCGUGAAAGUCCGGGGCUCAACUCCGGAUCUGCGGUGGGUACGGGCAGACUAGAGUGAUGUAGGGGAGACUGGAAUUCCUGGUGUAGCGGUGAAA
rnacentral:rRNA from 1 species